GACGAACGCUGGCGGCGUGCUUAACACAUGCAAGUCGAACGGAAAGGCCCUGCUUGCAGGGUACUCGAGUGGCGAACGGGUGAGUAACACGUGGGUGAUCUGCCCUGCACUUCGGGAUAAGCCUGGGAAACUGGGUCUAAUACCGGAUAGGAGCCAUUUUUAGUGUGAUGGUUGGAAAGUUUUUUCGGUGUAGGGUGAGCUCGCGGCCUAUCAGCUUGUUGGUGGGGUAAUGGCCUACCAAGGCGGCGACGGGUAGCCGGCCUGAGAGGGUGGACGGCCACAUUGGGACUGAGAUACGGCCCAGACUCCUACGGGAGGCAGCAGUGGGGAAGAUUGCACAAUGGGCGCAAGCCUGAUGCAGCGACGCCGCGUGGGGGAUGACGGCCUUCGGGUUGUAAACUCCUUUCGCUGGGGACGAAGCUUUUUGUGACGGUACCUAGAUAAGAAGCACCGGCUAACUACGUG
rnacentral:rRNA from 1 species